rnacentral:rRNA from 1 species
GACGAACGCUGGCGGCGUGCCUAAUACAUGCAAGUCGAGCGGACCAUUCCUUCGGGAAUGGUUAGCGGCGGACUGGUGAGUAACACGUAGGCAACCUGCCUGUAAGACUGGGAUAACUACCGGAAACGGUAGCUAAGACCGGAUAACUGGUUUUUUCACCUGAAGAGACCAUGAAACACGGAGCAAUCUGUGGCUUACAGAUGGGCCUGCGGCGCAUUAGCGAGUUGGUAGGGUAACGGCCUACCAAGGCGACGAUGCGUAGCCGACCUGAGAGGGUGAUCGGCCACACUGGGACUACGACACGGCCCAGACUCCUACGGGAGGCAGCAGUAGGGAAUCUUCCGCAAUGGACGCAAGUCUGACGGAGCAACGCCGCGUGAGUGAUGAAGGUUUUCGGAUCGUAAAGCUCUGUUGCCAGGGAAGAACGCCCAGGAGAGUAACUGCUCUUGGGGUGACGGUACCUGAGAAGAAAGCCCCGGCUAACUACGUGCCAGCCGCCGCAGUAACAC